UACGGGGGGAGCAAGCGUUGUUCGGAUUUACUGGGCGUAAAGGGCGCGUAGGCGGUCAGCACAAGUCAGUUGUGAAAUCUCCGAGCUUAACCCGGAAAGGUCAGCCGAUACUGCGGGGCUAGAGUGCAGAAGGGGCAACUGGAAUUCUCGGUGUAGCGGUGAAAUGCGUAGAUAUCGAGAGGAACACCUGCGGCGAAGGCGGGUUGCUGGGCCGACACUGACGCUGAGGCGCGAAAGCUAGGGGAGCGAACGGG
rnacentral:rRNA from 1 species